UACAGAGGGGGCAAGCGUUGUUCGGAAUUACUGGGCGUAAAGGGCGCGUAGGCGGCCCGCUAAGUCGAACGUGAAAUCCCCGAGCUCAACUCGGGAACUGCGUCCGAUACUGGCGGGCUUGAAUCCGGGAGAGGGAUGCGGAAUUCCAGGUGUAGCGGUGAAAUGCGUAGAUAUCUGGAGGAACACCGGUGGCGAAGGCGGCAUUCUGGACCAUAACUGACACUGAGAGACGAAAGCCAGGGGAGCAAACGGG
rnacentral:rRNA from 1 species